rnacentral:piRNA from 1 species
UCUAAUGAUGUUCAUUCAGGUGUCCC